GCCCGGCGGCGCGCAUGCGUGCGGUCCCCGCUCCCCCGGGGCUCGCCGGCCUCGUGCGUGCGCACGCGCGCUGUCCCCCGGAGGCGUCUGGGUGUGCGGAGCGCGCGCGCGCGGCUCGGAGGCGCACCUGUGAGGUGUCCCCUGAGGAGAGAGAGGGAGGGUGGGUGCGUGGAGCCCGCGGCCUGGGGCGCUUCAACCCCUUACUUGGAAGCGCCUCGCGUCCCGGCCGAGCCCUCCGAGCAUCCUACUCAGGUGAUGAGGCCGCCCUCCGUGCACCCAGCGCAGAACGCCGCUGCCGCCGGACGCCUCCAUUGUUUGACCACAACAAGGGCUGGAUUCUCACCCAGCAGGCUCCUCGGACCUCUGUAGCCUUCCGCCACUGUGGACCCUGCCUCUGCCUCCUGUUCUGGAAUGUCUUGGGGGUUUUGACUCCUGACACUGGAGGGAGCUGAGUUCCAGAGAGAGGCAGUGACUGUCCAAUGUCACUCCUGCGCCAGACCCCAGGGCUCUUGACCUUCAGCCCUGAGAGAACCCUCACCGGCUUUCAUGCUGCAUCUACAGUUGAAGAGAGAAGCUGACAUGGUAGCAUCUCAGAGCUCCACAAAAGGAGGAUUCAGAGCCGGAGGUGACCAGACAGGUGGAGCGUGUGAUAGGACUUCUGUCUGCGAGGAGGACAAUGGGCCAAUUCAUCGCCAGGACCUGCGAGCGGGCCAGGGCGAUGGAUGCGAGGCCAGACCUGCCGAGCUAGAAACCACCAGGGAGAAGGCCUCCAAGAACCCACCAAGAACCCAGCUACUCUGGCAUCCUGAUCUCGGACUUCCAGCCUCCGGAACCAUGAGAAAGAAACGUGUUGUUUAAGCCGCUCCGUCGAUGGUAUUGUUACAGCUGCCCGAACGGACCAAGGCAGUGACCAGAUGACUAUGAGCGGGCCUAUCACCUAGCGUGUCCCGAACAGCAUCGUGGGCCACAAAAAAUAACCUCGAGGGCCGCAUGCGGCCGCCAGUUUGACACCCCUGCUAUACAGCAAGGAAAAAGACCAAACCACUAAUACGCCCAACAAUACGGCUGAAUCUCAGGAAUCAUAUGCUGAGUGAAAGAAGCCAGAUGAAUUGUAUGCCACCAUUUACAUUUUACUAAGUUGUUCUCUAUCCAUCUUUUGGCAAAAGUCAUGAGUGAUGAUAAAAGCCAGGGUGGUGGUGACUCUGGUUACUGACUGGGGGGAGCGUGUGACAGAUGGACGUGUCCUCCGUCUUGACCUGGGUGGUGGUCACGCCGGUGUCCACACGCGUCCAGCCCAGCAGUUGAGAAGGGUGCGCUUCACAUGUGGAAAGCUGUGCCCUAGAAAUGAAGACAAAAAGAAACGGUUUGCUCUCUAGCCAGAGUCCGUGGGAAUGGACUUCACGAGUGCUUUGGGAAGGACUUGGAGGGAGCCCGCGGCGUCCGGGGGUCACCCGAGGUGUGAGCGCUGAGGCCUCUGAGCCUCCGGCAUCCGGUCCAGCUCUCCUGAGCGACUGUAACUUCCACAAGAAUGGGAACAAAGUGUGACCUGCCCAUGGCUCUGUCCCCAGUGCCUGCCAUACAGUAGGUGCUCAAUCAAUAACUGCUGCUUGAAGGGAUGGUGGACGAGAAGCCCAUCUCCCCUUUCCUCGGCACCCCGGGACUGCAGGGGAGCACCACGGAGACUUUGCCCCUCCCCCACAGCCAUGCCUGGUACCCAGACUGCCCCCCCCACACCCCGAACUUGGCCGGAGCCCCGGGCACCGCGCCAGGAGCCCGCAGCUUUUUAUUUGCUCCGAUUCAAUGUCCCUUGUCUUCACUUUGAGCUAGAAACCACACAACUAGAAUAUCUGCCCAGACUUGUGUCCUCCUCAAGGAAUGAAUAGAAAUGGUAUUCACUUGCCCUCCUCUGCGUGUGCUCACCCCGAGGCACUUGCUGGGGAGCUGCUGGCCCCAGGAGCUGUGCUCCCUCCGUCGGUCUCUCUGAGGCACAGAGAACUGGCUCUGAGUUUGGCAGGAGUGGGGACAACUACUCUCUCCUUUGCCCACCUCCCACCUACCCUAGCUCUAACCCGGCUGGACUUGCUCUUAUAUGUCACGGGCACAGAUGUCCUGUCUGCGUCUAUUCAAAUGUGGCUGAACAUGGCUGCUUGGUUAAUGAGUAUCUGCCAUAAUAACUCUUGGAAAGCCAUAGCGGUUUUUUUUUGGGAGGACUCCUUUUUUUCUGGUAUGACAAGUUUUUCAUCCUCCAAACCCUCUAAAUCAAAAAGUGGUUAUUUUGGCGUUACGGAUUCGGGCAGACAUACGCAUCAUUUUAUUUGACGUCACGGCUUCUAGUCAGAGAAGAGAACUAGAAACCAGUUUGGAUGGAGUGCCGCAUUUGGAAGACCCCAGGAUGCUUUGCUUUGCAUGGGGUCACCCAGCGCAAGGCAAGAGGAAGACAUGGCUUCUACAGCUUUUCGUCUGGGAUGGUGGGCCCCGGUUCCGCGUGUGUCAGGGCCUAAAGUGCAGCUUGACAGCUAAACAACCACGAACCCCUAAAAAAAUUGAAAAAUGGUAAAGAGAGUGGUGGAGACAGAUGAAUGCAUUAAAGGAGCUAUACUGAAUGUAACUCAUAGCUUCACCUUAUCUCCGUCGUCACGCACCACCCACUAUUGCCGAGGUCGGCAAACUUUUUAUACAAAAGGCCAGAUGGAAAACAUGUCAGGCUCUGCAGGGCGGGUGAUCCCCAUGGCCGGGGGGAAGACAUAAUUGUCACAGUAUCAGGGGCUGUCAGCUAGCACAAAGCCCUUCGCAGAUGAAUUGACCAGGAUUUGUAGAGGUUAAGGCUGGUCAGGAACAGGAUAUUCCCGCAGUCUCAAAAUACCUCCCCACAGAUUCCUGAUGAAUUACUCAGGCAAAGAUACCUUUACAGUGAAGAAAUGUAGUGGACACCCCCUCGGCCAAGUGACGAGACGUUAGCAUGACCAACAAUGAGAGAAGCUGACGUCUGUGCGUCCAGCUGUCAGUGCCACGACACUGACCCUGUGAAAUCCUCGCGAGAACAUUCAUCUGACGUCAGAUCAAAUGGAAGCAACCAGACAAAUAGACUGUGGGACUCUCUACAGAGCUACUGGCAUGAACUCUUUAAACCCAUCGAUGUCCAGAAAGACAAAGAAAGGCAUGGGACGAUUCUAGAAUAAAGGUGACAAAAAAAGAAAUGAGUGUGGAGGGUGUGAAGUGACUCAAACCUUUGUCUGAAAACGACCAUCAAAGACUGUGAAGGGUCUGAGAUUUCACCCCACCCUGGCCAGCUAAGAAGCCAGCCUGCCACAGUCGUCUGGACGCUGGCAAAGACACGAGACCCCUGGGGCGAGGCCAAAGGGUGUUAUUGCUCACAGUCACACCAGCAGCCAGCGUUUUCUCACACCGUUUUCCCCAGCCCUGGUUCCCACAGGUGACACCUGCCCAUGCAGUGACUUGCAUUACAGGAGAGGAACCCAGAGUUUAGGGAACCCACAUCUUUUUAUCAUGGGCAGUAAGCCCGCCUGAUCUUUUCCCCAGAAGGACAUCGUCUUUUUUUAUACUGGAAGGUAAGCAUGCCUGCCUUCUCCUUUGGAGGGAGACACGCUCUCAACCUUUCAAAGCUGUUCUCUAUACAGACGCCCUUGAAAUGACAGUCAAGGCAGAGGGCAGUCUCUGCCUGUAAGAUGCAACACAAAACCCACGGAGAGUUUUCUCCUAAUAAUGACAACGAAGUGCGGCACGUGCUUGGGUCCCGGAUUGGAAGAGAAAGCAGCUUUCAAGGACAUUUUUGGGCUUGGGAGAAGCUGGCAGAAAAAGGCCUUUUCAGCUAAAAGCUCCUUAAACCCCGAAGGUGUGAACCAGCAAGUUAACGGCCCGAAAACCCUUUCAGCUGUGAACGUGGCUGUGGACGCCUUGGUGUGUGGCUGUGAGCUGAUGCAGUGAAGCCCGUUCUGGAGGAAGGGAGCCCACACCAGCCCUGCCCUCUGUGCACGGACUCCGGCGGUGGUGAGGCCAGAGGGCAGGUCCUGACCCCAGACAGACAGCUGCCCAGCCAAGACCAAGCUAGAGCUGCAGGCUCAGAGAGGACGCGGCUAAAAAUGAA